AGAAUCAACGCUGGCGGCGUGCCUAACACAUGCAAGUCGAACGAGAAAGUGGAGCAAUCCAUGAGUAAAGUGGCGCACGGGUGAGUAACACGUGACUAACCUACCCUUGAGUGGGGGAUAACCUAGGGAAACCUGGGCUAAUACCGCAUAAUACCUUCGGGUCAAAGGAGCAAUUCGCUUAAGCGAGGGGGUCGCGGUCGAUUAGUUAGUUGGCGGGGUAAUGGCCCACCAAGACGAUGAUCGGUA
rnacentral:rRNA from 1 species